rnacentral:misc_RNA from 1 species
CGAAGGUACAGUAAGAACUCCUCCCUGAAUAAAUGUGCAGAAUACAAACUACAAACCACAUAAGUACAUUAUAACUUUCAGCUGUGUUUUACAAGACCAUAGGGAAAAAAAGUGUGGAAAUAAAACAAUAUGCGUUUGGACUAGACCUAUUGAAGUUGGAAAAACAGAAACUCGCAUGGCCGCUAAGCAUUUCCAUGAAACACGUACAUGCAAGAAAAAAACAACAACCAACCAAAAACUACGUAAGACUUGAAUACAACCUGCUUCUGAUUCUACUUUGCUUUCUUGAUGAGAGUUGUUGUUCCAAAUUCACUGUCAUCCCUUACGAAACUCCACCACAAGUAGGUGAGAGGAAUGGACAUAGCGUGCCAUAAAGCAUCGGCAUCUACAUAUCCCAGAUAUGGGGGAAAGUCAUAUAUCUUAAUAAGUGUGGAAAGGACUCCGCCAGCCACCACAACCCACAACUUCCAGCGUGAUGGAUGACGAGUAAAUCCUGCCCAGACAACCCAUAAAAUGAACUGCAGCAUGGUCAUACCAACACAGACUUUGAUGUUUAAUCCAUAGUCGAGUUGAUAAAAGUUCAGAUACAAGAUAUGGGUUGUCACAAACGCAACAAUGGGAGCAGCAAUCAUUACCCUUGAUGCCUCAUCUCUCACAUUAAAGGCUCGCAAUAUAGCAACAAGAAGAGAAUACCCAAUAAAUGCAACCACGGAUGAAUAGUCCAGCUUCUCAGUCAAUUCCACAUCUCUACUAUGGGAAACAGCACUCCAUAUCCAGGAGUUCAUUGACAAAAUAGCGUAGAUAUGCCACAAGCCAGUGUAUUCAUAAUAUGGCUUCUUCUUCGGGCUAUAAGGUAGAUUGUAGUUCACUAGAAUAAAAAAUGAUACCCAUCCAUGGAAUUGUAUAGCAAGGUUCAGGACAGAGAAUG